UACGGAGGGAGCUAGCGUUGUUCGGAAUUACUGGGCGUAAAGCGCGCGUAGGCGGCUAUUCAAGUCAGAGGUGAAAGCCCGGGGCUCAACCCCGGAACUGCCUUUGAAACUAGAUAGCUAGAAUCUUGGAGAGGUCAGUGGAAUUCCGAGUGUAGAGGUGAAAUUCGUAGAGAUCGGGAGGAACAUCGAGGUGGCAGAAGGCGGCCAUCGUGGGACAACACGUGACGCUGAGGCACGAAAGCGUGGGGAGCAAACAGG
rnacentral:rRNA from 1 species